CAGAGCCCAGAGGGGUCAAUGAGCUCCUGGCAGGUAAAUGGAGCCCUGGAGGAUGGAUCUGGGCCUCAAGGAAUUAAACCCAACCUGGAAAAGGGUCCCUGAGGUCCUGGCAGGGCCAGUUCUGCCCCUCGGGGGAGGAUCAGGGUGUGGGUCCCUCCCUCCUCCAAGAGCCUCAACGCCCUCAGCCCUCAGAGCUCUGGCCGCAGCCUCUGGAUGGGGACAGGGAUGGAGCACAAGGUGUCCCCCCCUGCCCUCCCCCCUGAGGUGGACACAGCGUUGGCUGCGCGGCGCAGGGCCCUGGUGGCCCUGGUGGCCUUGGCCGAGGCCUUGGGGACACCGGACAGCGUCCCCGCUGCGCUGGCCGAGGCCGAGGCUGCCCUGGGCCAGGCCCAGGAGGCUCAGAGGGGUCUGGAGAGGGCCCAGGAGGCUGCGGUGGCCCCGGCGGUGGCCCUGGGAACCCUGGGGGACGAGGACGAGCAGUGGCUGCGGCAGCUCGGGGCCGUGGCCAAGGCAGCGGCGGCGGCGCUGGAGCGCGAGGAGAGACGGGCACGGCGGUGCCAGCGCUGGCUGCAGGCUGGGCACGGGCUGGCCGUGGGGCUGAUGGUGCUGUGCGGGGCCGUGUUGUCCCUGGACUCGGCCCGCGCCGCCCUGGGGGUGAGCGAGGACAGCCACCUGCUGCUGGCCCUGGCCGCGGUGGCCGUGUCCUGCGAGGUGGCCUGGCGGGGUCUGGGGACAUCACGGCGUCACCUGGCCACCGCCGCGAGCCACCAGCGGGACAUGGCCCUGCGCCUGCGGGACCGUGCCCGGCGGGUGGCAGCCGCCAGGGCCAGCGCCGAGGCCGCUGCGGCCACCAACGAGGCCACUGCAGAUGUGCUGGGGCGGCUGGAGGAGGUGACACAGGCACUGGGGACGUUGGUGACCGCUGUCACCCAGGACAGGGAGGUGACACCUUGGGGGACACAGGGACAGGGCUUCCCCAGAGCUGCCCGGGCACUUGGGGACAUCCUAGUGGGCUUGGGGACAUUGCGUGAGGGGCACGAGGAGGUGACGCUGAGGCUGGAGGCAGCCCAGAGAGCGCUGGUGGGGCAGGGAUAGGGACAGGGUGGGGACACUGGGGUGGCACUGUCACCGCUGGGGUAGGGGGACACUCCGAGGGAUAUUGGGGACUUUGGGGACAACCCCGUGUCCUUCCCUUGGGGACACCGGGACCACCCUGAGGUCUCCUGUCCUGUUUUGGGUCACCACGAUGUCCCCGAUGUCCCCACAGGACCCCGGCAUGUCCCCAGAGUCCCCAACAGGACAUCGGGGGGGACACUUGGGUCUUGUUGGGGACAUGGGAGGGACACCGGGGCCAUGUGGGGACCCUGAGGGCAC
rnacentral:lncRNA from 1 species